rnacentral:rRNA from 1 species
GUCUAUAUACGUAUAGCAUAUCAAUAAGCGGAGGAAAAGAAACUAACAAGGAUUCCCUUAGUAACGGCGAGUGAAGCGGGAAGAGCUCAAAUUUGAAAUCUUCAAGGUUUACCUUGACGAAUUGUAGUUUAAAGAAGUGUUUUCUGUUGAAGUUUGGUAGCAAAGUUCUUUGGAAUAGGACAUCAUAGAGGGUGAGAAUCCCGUAUUUGACCAUUAUUAUUCAGCUGUGUGAUACACUUUCAAAGAGUCGGAUUGUUUGGGAAUGCAGUCCAAAAUGGGUGGUAAAUUUCAUCUAAAGCUAAAUAUUGGCGAGAGACCGAUAGCGAACAAGUACCGUGAGGGAAAGAUGAAAAGAACUUUGAAAAGAGAGUUAAACAGCACGUGAAAUUGUCAAAAGGGAAGCGUUUGACACCAGUGUUGUUUUUCCGAAAAUCAAUUACGAAUGGCUUGAUUUUGUGUUGUAUUGACCUUAUCAGCUUUCUUCACUUUUUUCGAGUCUUUCUUAAUGCACUUUUGGUUAACAAGUCAACAUCAAUUUCUUUUGUUGUAAAAGAGUAUUCGGAAGGUGGCUUUCUUUUCGGAGAAAGUGUUUAUAGCCCUAUACUUCUACAAUCGGAGAGAUUGAGGUCUGCAGCGUAGAUCCUUCGGGGUUAGAUACAUUUGUGCUAAGUUGUAGCUUUUCAUAGACAACUUGUUGACUAUGUUUAGUCAUGCGGCUUACUCGCUUAUGCUAUUUUACCUACGCUUAGGAUGUUGACUGAUAUGUAGUCGUA